rnacentral:rRNA from 1 species
UGGGGAAUAUUGGACAAUGGGCGAAAGCCUGAUCCAGCCAUGCCGCGUGUGUGAAGAAGGUCUUCGGAUUGUAAAGCACUUUAAGUUGGGAGGAAGGGCAGUAAGCGAAUACCUUGCUGUUUUGACGUUACCGACAGAAUAAGCACCGGCUAACUCUGUGCCAGCAGCCGCGGUAAUACAGAGGGUGCAAGCGUUAAUCGGAAUUACUGGGCGUAAAGCGCGCGUAGGUGGUUCGUUAAGUUGAAUGUGAAAGCCCCGGGCUCAACCUGGGAACUGCAGCCAAAACUGGCGAGCUAGAGUAGGGCAGAGGGUGGUGGAAUUUCCUGGGUAGCGGUGAAAUGCGUAGAUAUAGGAAGGAACACCAGUGGCGAAGGCGACCACCUGGGCUCAUACUGACACUGAGGUGCGAAAGCGUGGGGAGCAAACAGG